CAUAUAUAAUAACAGAGUGUAUAGAGAUAAAUGUCACAAUAUAAUCAGAGUACUUAUUACAUGGCGGAAGUCUUACAAAAUAAAAGAUAAAUAUAACAGGAUCUAAAAUCCAUCCUUGGCGCCAGAAAGUCAACUGGGAGACGCCACCUAGAUCGAAUCGAACUCCUUGAUAUGAUGCUCCACUUGAACCACCUGUUCUUCUCCUGUGGGGGGGUGUGAGACAGCAAGAGUGAGCUCACAUACGUUCAUCGCUCAACAAGUUGUGGGGAAUAAUGUGCAUGAACUCGCCAAAGGUGGGAGCUCAUGAAGUGUAAGGCUUAUCAAAGAAAAUGGUUAAAGCUGAGCAUUGCUUUUAAUGUUGGUCAAACUUUUAUUAGCAAUUACUAGGUGUAAGUGAAUACCAAACCUUAAUAAAAGUAAUAGAACAAAAUUAAUAAAUAAUCCCAUGCAAAUGCAAAUGACAAAUUGAAUUUAGGUUCCAUAAUUUAAUCAUGUGAGGGUCCGAGCUGCUCAUGACCGUGAGCACGGCUAGUAUACUAGUUUUACACUCUGCAGAGGUUGCACAUCUUUACCCACAAGCCGUGUUACCCAUCUACCAAGGGGUCAUGAGUCCCAUACACCUCUACCGAGGAGGCGAGGCAGGGUAACACUACGAGGCCUUUACAAAGUUCCACUAGCUUCAGAAAUCCCGCUACAGUUUAUAGGAAGCUCCAAUGCAGGAAUCCCUUGAAGGACCGCCAUCGCAGCAAAAUCCUCCCGAGGGCCUCCCUACACUGACCACUCCCCUACUGCCCUUGCCCCUUUCGGGUAAGGAAGACCUCCACUAGCUUUCCUAGUUAAUCAGCCAAGGGCGUCCCAUUAAACCCUUGUGGUAGCACUGUUUUCCCGGGUGGUCGCUCCAUGUUCCAAUUAACAUAAUGAUCUUAUCAUGAACAUAAAUAACAUAACAGAAUAAUUGGAACAUGGAUGUAAUGAAAUAUUAACCCGAAAACCAUAUAAAGCAAUAGCAUAACUACCCAAUUGAUUCAGGGGUAAACAAGGUAAACAGGAUAAACAAACUAGGGUAACCUAUUGGGUCCCAUCAAAAUUAACCUAUGCAGAUCAUUAUGAUUAAUUAGAACAUGAGUGGGUAAAAAGAAGUGAUCAAGGGCACAACUUGCCUGGCACUUGAGAUUCCAGUUACCAGGGUGAUUCUUCAGAUUUCUCGUGACCGCACUGCUAGUCGUUGCAAUACAAACAAACAUGGUAUAGACAAAAUUAACAUCACACCAAACACAAGUACAAACUGAAUAAGAAUAUUCUACGCAUUGCUACGAGAUCGUGGGAACGAGAACCACUAAGAUCGGAGUUAUGACUAAGGAGUUAUGAUUUUAUAGAAGAUUCAUGUGAUUAGAAUAUUAAACUAUAUCAUAAUUUGGUUAAUAUAAAUCAUAUGAGAGGUUAUUCUCUAAAUAACUAUCUACACUUUAAUCCACAUUAUAAUUUGACCUUAUAUCAUAUUUUAGUAUAUUAUAAUGGUGAGUAGAUUAACAAGACUAACCAACAUAAAUUAAAUAAAGAUCUAAUUAUAAAUGGAUGAGACAUGGUAUAAUCAAUGUUGUUAAUGUGUAGUAAAUAUUCAUACGAUACUAACGCAACUGGAACGGAUCAAAUCGGAGUUUUAGAUUUGAAGUUAUGAAUUUCUAAAGAUUAUAUGUGUCUUGCACAAGAUUAAAUAGGAUCUAAAUUUUAAUGUGAUUUUCAUGUCCAAACAGAGACACUAGAUGAUAAACAAUAAUAUUACAAAAUUAUAAAAUUUGGAAUGGAUUAAUUUGGACAUCAUAUGAAUUUUCUAUGAAUUAAACAAAUUCUAGCAUCUAUUUUUACAUUAAAAAUCAUUUCCUAAUUACUUUCACUGGGUUUUAUAAAUCUCCGGACUGGGCACACUAAUAUUAGGAAGUGCAGGGGCCUGGCGCAAAGUGCACCAAGACACAGAGAACCCAGGGAUAGAUCGCGGGUUGAAUAGCAAGUUUUCCGGGGUCUCUUUUAGAAGUUUGCUCGGCUGAAUCUAUCCGGGCGAGUAUGAGCCGUCAGAUCCCGAUCUGACGGAUCCGUUAUAACGACGAAGGGGUACGCGCUAUUGACCGUCGAUCCUGAGAUCCACGAUCACGAAGCCCUGACUGAACCGGUAUGCAAGGCGCGAUCACAGCCGUUAGUGACCAGAUCAACGGACAAGGCGCACCUCCUACCUCCGCUCUAAUCCUGCCCGCUAGUGGUCGAUCCAAUGGCCAGGAGGCCAUUGCCUUCCACGGUCCGAAGAUAGCGGCGCACGCAGCACCCAUGGCGGCGCCCGCCCUGCGACCGAACCUCGCCGGUGCAGCCCACCCGGCGAUUACGUGCCCUAAUCCCAAAUUAAACUGAUACAGAGCGAAGAGGAAGGUUGCGCGAACACGGUGGACGGGUACUCACCGGAGAUGGCGUACGGUGGAGGUCGGUCCGCGGUGAGCAGCGGGUUGGCGGGGCCGUAGAACUCCGAUAAGGGCUUCUCUAACGCUAUAGCUCCCCCGGAGCUCGCGGAUCCCACAGGCACACAAAGGGCACCCUGUGGAUGGCCCCCCGACCUCUUCAAAUGAUCCCCGCGACGGUAUAUGGAUGCAAUGGCGGUAGCGGCUGGAGAAGCGUGCAAUCCGGCGACGAAUUCCCAGAUCACCGACCGCCAAACCACCGCCGCGAGGCCACUGAAGACCCUGGCGGGCGACCAAGAUCACCCGCGACGAGCCCAAGUACCUCACACCCUCUCGUCGGUGGUAUUUAUGCCGAUGGCGGAACUCAAAACCCGAUUUCAAUUCCAGCACCCAUUCAAUCCUUCCCCUUGGUGUUGCUUUCCUGGGCUAGG
rnacentral:lncRNA from 1 species